rnacentral:rRNA from 2 species
GAUUGGUGCUUGCAUCAUGAUUUACAUUUGAGUGAGUGGCGAACUGGUGAGUAACACGUGGGAAACCUGCCCAGAAGCGGGGGAUAACACCUGGAAACAGAUGCUAAUACCGCAUAACAACUUGGACCGCAUGGUCCGAGUUUGAAAGAUGGCUUCGGCUAUCACUUUUGGAUGGUCCCGCGGCGUAUUAGCUAGAUGGUGGGGUAACGGCUCACCAUGGCAAUGAUACGUAGCCGACCUGAGAGGGUAAUCGGCCACAUUGGGACUGAGACACGGCCCAAACUCCUACGGGAGGCAGCAGUAGGGAAUCUUCCACAAUGGACGAAAGUCUGAUGGAGCAACGCCGCGUGAGUGAAGAAGGGUUUCGGCUCGUAAAACUCUGUUGUUAAAGAAGAACAUAUCUGAGAGUAACUGUUCAGGUAUUGACGGUAUUUAACCAGAAAGCCACGGCUAACUACGUGCCAGCAGCCGCGGUAAUACGUAGGUGGCAAGCGUUGUCCGGAUUUAUUGGGCGUAAAGCGAGCGCAGGCGGUUUUUUAAGUCUGAUGUGAAAGCCUUCGGCUCAACCGAAGAAGUGCAUCGGAAACUGGGAAACUUGAGUGCAGAAGAGGACAGUGGAACUCCAUGUGUAGCGGUGAAAUGCGUAGAUAUAUGGAAGAACACCAGUGGCGAAGGCGGCUGUCUGGUCUGUAACUGACGCUGAGGCUCGAAAGUAUGGGUAGCAAACAGGAUUAGAUACCCUGGUAGUCCAUACCGUAAACGAUGAAUGCUAAGUGUUGGAGGGUUUCCGCCCUUCAGUGCUGCAGCUAACGCAUUAAGCAUUCCGCCUGGGGAGUACGGCCGCAAGGCUGAAACUCAAAGGAAUUGACGGGGGCCCGCACAAGCGGUGGAGCAUGUGGUUUAAUUCGAAGCUACGCGAAGAACCUUACCAGGUCUUGACAUACUAUGCAAAUCUAAGAGAUUAGACGUUCCCUUCGGGGACAUGGAUACAGGUGGUGCAUGGUUGUCGUCAGCUCGUGUCGUGAGAUGUUGGGUUAAGUCCCGCAACGAGCGCAACCCUUAUUAUCAGUUGCCAGCAUUAAGUUGGGCACUCUGGUGAGACUGCCGGUGACAAACCGGAGGAAGGUGGGGAUGACGUCAAAUCAUCAUGCCCCUUAUGACCUGGGCUACACACGUGCUACAAUGGAUGGUACAACGAGUUGCGAACUCGCGAGAGUAAGCUAAUCUCUUAAAGCCAUUCUCAGUUCGGAUUGUAGGCUGCAACUCGCCUACAUGAAGUCGGAAUCGCUAGUAAUCGCGGAUCAGCAUGCCGCGGUGAAUACGUUCCCGGGCCUUGUACACACCGCCCGUCACACCAUGAGAGUUUGUAACACCCAAAGUCGGUGGGU